rnacentral:rRNA from 1 species
AGCCAUGAUCAAACUCUACGACUUGUUACCUUGUUACGACUUAGCCCUAGUUACCAGUUUUACCCUAGGCCUCUUCUGAGGGUGUAUAAAGUGGCGCACGGGUGAGUAACACGUAAGUAAUCUACCCUCGGGUGGGGAAUAACAACCGGAAACGGUUGCUAAUACCGCAUAAUGCAGCGGCUCCUUAUGGAGACAGUUGUUAAAGGAUUUAUUCGCCUGAGGAGGAGCUUGCGGCAAAUUAGCUAGUUGGUAAGGUAAUGGCUUACCAAGGCUACGAUCUGUAGCCGGUCUAAGAGGACGGUCGGUCACACUGACACUGAAUAACGGGUCAGACUCCUACGGGAGGCAGCAGUCGGGAAUUUUGGGCAAUGGGCGAACCCCCCCCCCCAGCAACGCCGCGUGAAGGAUAAAAGUAUUUCGGUAUGUAAACUUCGAAAGAAUAGGAAGAAUUAAUGACGGUACUAUUUAUAAGGUCCGGCUAACUACGUGCCAGCAGCCGCGGUAAUACGUAGGGACCAAGCGUUGUUCGGAUUUACUGGGGCGUAAAGGGCGCGUAGGCGGCAUGACAAGUCACUUGUGAAAUCUCUGGGCUUAACUCAGAACGGCCAAGUGAUACUGUCGCGCUAGAGUGCAGAAAGGGCAAUCGGAAUUCUUGGUGUAGCGGUGGAAUGCGUAGAUAUCAAGAGGAACACCUGAGGCGAAGGCGGGUUGCUAGGCUGACACUGACGCUGAGGCGCGAAAGCCAGGGGAGCAAACGGGAUUAGAUACCCCGGUAGUCCUGGCCCUAAACGAUGAAUACUUGGUGUCUGGAAUUAUUAAUGCUCUGGGGUGCCGUCGCAACGUUUCAAGUAUUCGCCUUGGGGAAGUACGCUCGCAAGAGUGGAAACUCAAAGGAUUUGACGGGGAACCCCGCCACAACCGGGUGAGACUGGGGGUUUUAAUUUGCAGCCAACCGCGAAGAAACC